GAUGAACGCUGGCGGCGUGCUUAACACAUGCAAGUCGAGCGAGAAAAGUUCUUCGGAGCUUUUCUAGCGGCGGACGGGUGAGUAACACGUGGGCAACCUGCCUCAUAGAGGGGAAUAGCCUUCCGAAAGGAAGAUUAAUACCGCAUAACAUUGUUGAAAGGCAUCUUUUAACAAUCAAAGGAAUAAUCCGCUAUGAGAUGGGCCCGCGGCGCAUUAGCUAGUUGGUGAGGUAACGGCUCACCAAGGCGACGAUGCGUAGCCGACCUGAGGGGGUGAUCGGCCACAUUGGAACUGAGACACGGUCCAGACUCCUACGGGAGGCAGCAGUGGGGAAUAUUGCACAAUGGGGGAAACCUUGAUGCAGCAACGCCGCGUGAGUGAUGAAGGUCUUCGGAUUGUAAAGCUCUGUCUUUAGGGACGAUAAUGACGGUACCUAAGGAGGAAGCCACGGCUAACUACGUGCCAGCCGCCGCAGUAAUAC
rnacentral:rRNA from 1 species